rnacentral:rRNA from 1 species
UACGGGGGGAGCAAGCGUUGUUCGGAUUUACUGGGCGUAAAGGGCGCGUAGGCGGCGUGACAAGUCACUUGUGAAAUCUCCGGGCUUAACUCGGAGCGGCCAAGUGAUACUGUCGUGCUAGAGUGCGGAAGGGGCAACUGGAAUUCUCGGUGUAGCGGUGAAAUGCGCAGAUAUCAGGAGGAACACCGGUGGCGAAGGCGGGUCUCUGGGCAACAACUGACGCUGAGGAGCGAAAGCGUGGGGAGCGAACAGG